rnacentral:rRNA from 1 species
ACGAACGCUGGCGGCGUGCCUAAUACAUGCAAGUCGAACGCUUCUUUUUCCACCGGAGCUUGCUCCACCGGAAAAAGAGGAGUGGCGAACGGGUGAGUAACACGUGGGUAACCUGCCCAUCAGAAGGGGAUAACACUUGGAAACAGGUGCUAAUACCGUAUAACAAUCGAAACCGCAUGGUUUUGAUUUGAAAGGCGCUUUCGGGUGUCGCUGAUGGAUGGACCCGCGGUGCAUUAGCUAGUUGGUGAGGUAACGGCUCACCAAGGCGACGAUGCAUAGCCGACCUGAGAGGGUGAUCGGCCACAUUGGGACUGAGACACGGCCCAAACUCCUACGGGAGGCAGCAGUAGGGAAUCUUCGGCAAUGGACGAAAGUCUGACCGAGCAACGCCGCGUGAGUGAAGAAGGUUUUCGGAUCGUAAAACUCUGUUGUUAGAGAAGAACAAGGAUGAGAGUAACUGUUCAUCCCUUGACGGUAUCUAACCAGAAAGCCACGGCUAACUACGUGCCAGCAGCCGCGGUAAUACGUAGGUGGCAAGCGUUGUCCGGAUUUAUUGGGCGUAAAUCGAGCGCAGGCGGUUUCUUAAGUCUGAUGUGAAAGCCCCCGGCUCAACCGGGGAGGGUCAUUGGAAACUGGGAGACUUGAGUGCAGAAGAGGAGAGUGGAAUUCCAUGUGUAGCGGUGAAAUGCGUAGAUAUAUGGAGGAACACCAGUGGCGAAGGCGGCUCUCUGGUCUGUAACUGACGCUGAGGCUCGAAAGCGUGGGGAGCAAACAGGAUGAGAUACCCUGGUAGUCCACGCCGUAAACGAUGAGUGCUAAGUGUUGGAGGGUUUCCGCCCUUCAGUGCUGCAGCUAACGCAUUAAGCACUCCGCCUGGGGAGUACGACCGCAAGGUUGAAACUCAAAGGAAUUGACGGGGGCCCGCACAAGCGGUGGAGCAUGUGGUUUAAUUCGAAGCAACGCGAAGAACCUUACCAGGUCUUGACAUCCUUUGACCACUCUAGAGAUAGAGCUUCCCCUUCGGGGGCAAAGUGACAGGUGGUGCAUGGUUGUCGUCAGCUCGUGUCGUGAGAUGUUGGGUUAAGUCCCGCAACGAGCGCAACCCUUAUUGUUAGUUGCCAUCAUUUAGUUGGGCACUCUAGCAAGACUGCCGGUGACAAACCGGAGGAAGGUGGGGAUGACGUCAAAUCAUCAUGCCCCUUAUGACCUGGGCUACACACGUGCUACAAUGGGAAGUACAACGAGUCGCAAAGUCGCGAGGCUAAGCUAAUCUCUUAAAGCUUCUCUCAGUUCGGAUUGUAGGCUGCAACUCGCCUACAUGAAGCCGGAAUCGCUAGUAAUCGCGGAUCAGCACGCCGCGGUGAAUACGUUCCCGGGCCUUGUACACACCGCCCGUCACACCACGAGAGUUUGUAACACCCGAAGUCGGUGAGGUAACCUUUUGGAGCCAGCCGCCUAAGGUGGGAUAGAUGAUUGGGGUG